CCUUGACAUACUAAGAACGUUUCCAGAGAUGGAUUGGUGCCUUCGGGAACUUAGAUACAGGUGCUGCAUGGCUGUCGUCAGCUCGUGUCGUGAGAUGUUGGGUUAAGUCCCGNAACGAGCGCAACCUUUUCCUAUUUGCCAGCGGGUCAUGCCGGGAACUUUAAGGAUACUGCCAGUGACAAACUGGAGGAAGGCGGGGACGACGUCAAGUCAUCAUGGCCCUUACGGCCAGGGCUACACACGUGCUACAAUGGUCGGUACAAAGGGUUGCUACCUCGCGAGAGGAUGCUAAUCUCAAAAAGCCGAUCGUAGUCCGGAUCGCAGUCUGCAACUCGACUGCGUGAAGUCGGAAUCGCUAGUAAUCGCGGAUCAGAAUGCCGCGGUGAAUACGUUCCCGGGCCUUGUACACACCGCCCGUCACACCAUGGGAGUUUGUUGCACCAGAAGUAGGUAGUCUAACCGCAAGGAGGACGCUUACCACGGUGUGGCCGAUGACUGGGGUGAAGUCGUAACAAGGUAGGCGUAGAUGA
rnacentral:rRNA from 1 species